AGUGAACGCUGGCGGUAGGCCUAACACAUGCAAGUCGAACGGCAGCACAGUAAGAGCUUGCUCUUACGGGUGGCGAGUGGCGGACGGGUGAGGAAUACAUCGGAAUCUACUUUUUCGUGGGGGAUAACGUAGGGAAACUUACGCUAAUACCGCAUACGACCUACGGGUGAAAGCAGGGGAUCUUCGGACCUUGCGCGAUUGAAUGAGCCGAUGUCGGAUUAGCUAGUUGGCGGGGUAAAGGCCCACCAAGGCGACGAUCCGUAGCUGGUCUGAGAGGAUGAUCAGCCACACUGGAACUGAGACACGGUCCAGACUCCUACGGGAGGCAACAGUGGGGAAUAUUGGACAAAGGGCGCAAGCCUGAUCCAGCCAUACCGCGUGGGUGAAGAAGGCCUUCGGGUUGUAAAGCCCUUUUGUUGGGAAAGAAAAGCAGCAGGUUAAUACCCCGCUGUUCUGACGGUACCCAAAGAAUAAGCACCGGCUAACUUCGUG
rnacentral:rRNA from 1 species